AUUCUACUCCCUUCGUUGCACAAUACAUGCCUUCUAUUUGUCAAAAUAUAUAUGUAUCUAGACAUGUCUUAGUAUAUAGGUACAUCCAUUUUUGGACAAAUGGAAGUCAAGUAUUUUGGAAUGGAGGGAGUACACA
rnacentral:pre_miRNA from 1 species